ACUGUAGUGACGUCACACUCAAACAGGAAGCGUUUUUAAGCAGCAGAUAAUUGCAGCAGUCUGGUUUUUCAUCUUUAAACCUAUUUUCCCUUUCUCAAACAAUGUCUCAGGAUACCUGGUUACAAAACUACGAUGCCACUUGUCGGCUGGCACAAGAAAUUGCUGAAAAAAUCCAGGAACGUAACAGAGAGCAAAGAACAGGGGGCAACCCUGCCUCGGUCAACAUGGCACUACGGGCAUCACUUCAAAAGCUCAAACAAAAUAUUUCUCAGCUUAAAGAUAGUGUGCUGAGAGCUUCUUCGUCGCGGCGAAUAAUGCAAUCAGAAGCGGACAGGCGGCAAAAUCUCAUUGACGACCUGCUGACUAGGGAGAAGCAGCUCAAUGCCACUUUUAAAGGCGAUAUCACGGAACCAGCUCCAUCCAGGUCCACCUUAUUGGCCGGAGGCGCAGUAUCAAGCGACGGAGUCUCCACCAACCCUUGGCUCAUCAAUGAAUCGGACGAAACCAGGGGGUUGACAUUUGGCGAGAUUAAACAACAGCAGCAACGAAUCCUCGAAGUGCAGGACGCAGGUCUCGAUGCGCUGGCAGAGGUCAUUAGCCGGCAGAAGGUCAUGGGACAGGAGAUUGGCAACGAGCUGGACGAACAGAACGAAAUCAUUGAUGACAUCACGCACCUCGUGGAUAAGACAGACGGCCGCAUUCGCAAUGAGACGCGACGGGUGCAGCUGGUGGACAAAAAGUCGGCCUCCUGCGAGACUGAACAGAAGCAGAGGAGACACUAUGAAGGACUCGCCCCUGAAAUGCUCGAUGUUGCUCGGCGUGUCCUUCAUCGCCACAUUUCAGGAUGCUGGUGGUGAUCGUUUUGCUGCUCAUCGCCAUCGUCGUGGUCGCCGUGUGGCCCGUGUAACGAGUGCGGACGCUUGAUGGAAAGACUACCUAGUUUACAAUCUGGAUGAGGGAAUGGAGCCCAAUUUAUUGGGACAAUUUGACCAAAUUCACAACUGAUGACACGGAACAUUGUUCAGAAUCAAUCUUUCAGCCUGGAAAUGGAAAAAAGAAAAUACAUUUCAUUUUCAUCUGAAACUGACAGCAAGGUUUUGCCAGCCGCACCCACGGGAUGGCAAUCGCAUGCUGUGAGGGACACAGAAAGAAAAGGAGAGACACAGAAUACUGUCAGAAAGUGAAGCCAGAGAUCCUCUUGGGAACAAUUUCCAUCAGCAUCUUCCAGAGGUGAGAUGACCGCUUUGUAAUUUUUGUUUUUAAUUUUUUUUACAAUAACAACUUGGGUUAGAACAUUGUUCUCCGGGUUCUGCGCCCUAAGCUCCGCCCCUGAUUGUCGUGGUAAUGACAUCUAGAGUCACCACUAGCGCAGAUCUUUACAGGUCCCUCUCAAAUGGGCUAAUUUCAACAGGACUAAUAGAUUGGGUGUGUUAAGUGUAAUACAAUUGUUGAUUUGGGGGUGGGAGGGUAAAUGAAAGAAGAUUGAUUGAUUGAUUGAUUGAACAUUUAUUGAUCCCUGGGGUGGGAAAAUUAAGAAAUCUCCUAGAAAUGUCAAGACACUGGGAAGUUUUCAAACUGUGAAGAAAACACCAUAUAUCUCAUUUCAUCUAAAAGGCAACUGUGAAUUUCAAUGUGGGUUUUUCUUUUUACUUUUUGGACCAAUACCUAACUUUUGUCAAAAGCAAUGGGAGUCGUAAAACGUUGUAGUAUUAUCCAAACAUAGAUCAACCCCAAAGCUUUUUGAUGCUUGGUGCAAAAGUAGCAUUUAAUCAAAAGCCAAUUGCUUCUGGAACGAGCAUCCCGACAAGCAGCAAGCAGCUCCAAAAUGUGUCCUGGAGAUGUCUGCCAACACGCUGACAUUAAUUACUUCAAGAUCCACACGAGGCGCAAAAGCAGCUCUUGGUAACAUUCUUCACUUUUAUUUUGCGCAAAAUGAUUUUGUAUAAGUUGCUAUACUCAAUCGGCAGCAGUUUUAUUUAAUGUGUAUAGCCAGAUGCUAUUUUUUUAUUUUUUUUUUAAUGUCUGUAAAAGAUGCAUUUUUCUCUCUUCAGUUUAGUAGGGUCCAAUCUAGCGUGAUUACAUUUCGAUUCGAUAUGGUACGGCUCAAUUUGAGAGGGUACGACGAGUUUCUUGUUGUCAUCGGAACGAAUUUGUCAGGACUAUAAAUUGCCUUCGUUACCUUCUUAAUUCUUUAAAGAUGCAUCACCAAUAAAACGCCAAUUUGA